AACGUCACUUGUAGGCGGGGAAACAACGCCAUUUCUGCUCGAGACGCAUGAUUUCCAGGUCCUGUUAGGUAAAGACCCAGUAUUGAGUAACAGAGAUGGCAGCACAUCUGGAAUCAAUACAGCCGAACUGGAUUCUGCUCUAGCUCUAGAGUCAGAGAGGUCGAGUUCAAGCUGACCAGGUCACAUCACUCAGAGUGCGCCGGCAUGGAUGGUUGCUAUGGUGAGGGUUAUGGUCGAAGAGAUAUGGGGAUCGAUGGAGAAUUUUUGCUUGCUCAAGUAACAAAAACAUACACUUGUGUUUUUUAUUUUUGCAUUUACACUUUCAUAUACUCAAUUAGAAUUAAGCAAAAAUAUAAAUAGGAACUUCUUGAA